ACUCAAAGGAAUUGACGGGGGCCCGCACAAGCAGCGGAGCGUGUGGUUUAAUUCGAGGCUACACGAAGAACCUUACCUGGGUUUGACAUCUAUGUAGUAGGGAACCGAAAGGGGACCGACCUUCGGGAGCAUAGACAGGUGCUGCAUGGCUGUCGUCAGCUCGUGCCGUGAGGUGUUCGGUUAAGUCCGCAAACGAGCGCAACCCUCGGGGCUAGUUACAAGUGUCUAGCCCGACUGCCCGUGAGAAACGGGAGGAAGGUGGGGAUGACGUCAAGUCAGCAUGGCCUUUAUAUCCAGGGCUACACACACGCUACAAUGGACGGUACAGUGCGUUGCGAAACCGCGAGGUGGAGCCAAUCGAGAAAGCCGUUCGUAGUUCGGAUUGCAGGCUGCAACUCGCCUGCAUGAAGUCGGAGUUGCUAGUAACCGCGCAUCAGCUAUGGCGCGGUGAAUACGUUCCCGGGCCUUGUACACACCGCCCGU
rnacentral:rRNA from 1 species